rnacentral:lncRNA from 1 species
CCCAUGUUCUUUCAUUGUACUUAGAAAUAAUCACAACAAAUCUUGAGAGGAAAAACAUAUCAUUCUAAUUUCUAUAAAUACAGGCACUGAAUCUUAAAAGUUCUGCAAAUUGCCUAAGAACACACCAUGAACUGUGGGAGCUAGGUUCCUUCUGAUGAUAAAUUCCAAAGCUGUCUACACCUACCAUGGUUAUGCACGUGGGCUCCAGAAUGAGCAGACUUUCCUUCACAUCCCAGCUCUGCCAUUUUCCAGCAUCAUCUUCAACUGUACCAGUGGCAAUGGGUAAAUUAAUGAUCUGAGGAAGUCUGUGGAAGAAAAGCAAGUACCAGUUACCAAAAGCUAUGAAUGAGUUUUACCAAAAAUUGGUGCAGGACUAACCAUCACUGACACAAGUCUGGGAUCAUGGUGGGGAAACUGAGGCCUGGAAAGGUCAUCCAGCCUCAAGGGCCAGACUUAAGAUUUAAACCUGCAAUUUUAACCAGCAUGUUCCAUUGGCCUGGAAUUUAUCCUUCUCAGAUGCAGUCAUUCUUCAA